UUCAAAAGACGUUUAGAUGUAGAACUUAGGGAUAUGGUUUAGUGGGGACUGUUAGUGUUAGGUCAGAGGUUGGACUCGAUGAUCUUGAGGUCUCUUCCAACCUAGAGAUUCUGUGAUUCUGUCCAUGUGGUUCUGUGAAGCACUUUGCCACUGUCAUAUAGAUUCAAGUACCAAAAGCAACAACAAAGGAUCUUCCUGCUUGUUACUUUCAUGAAAGCUCUUGAAUAACAGCUUAAUUCCUAAUUAUGAGACUGUUUAACACAGGCUUCAUGCAAGUUUUAUACAUAUUAUUUUAUCCUUGUAUAUUUUGAAUACAAGCUGUAUCACAGAUAUUAAACAGUGCUUUAGCUGUAAUGGCCUAUUGAAUUUGUGCUUUUUAGAGAGUAAAUUAUUUUCAUAAUGGAGGGUAAUAGCUCUGCUUUGUCAAUCCAUCAUCAAUUCAUGAACGCUGCAGGGUGUCUGUGCAACCUCAUGUUCAAGGAAUUAUAUAUGCAACUCCUGUCAUUGUUUGUUGUUCAAUAAACAGCUUCAAAUGACUAAAGCUGUGUGUGAGCUGUUACUUAAAGGCUAAAGUAUUUGCCAGAACUGUCACUGCCCUUCUAGCAGAGAGCAUGUUGUUUGUGAAUGCUCAGAGAGAUAUCUUGAAUUGAGAUUAUUAACUACAUGGCAAUCAGUUUUCCUUCAGUGUUAAUUGUGCUGCUGAAUCCUGGGAUACUGUGUUAAAAAAGAAUUCAGAAGUCAAUGCCACAUCAUGGAUGCAUUUUUGUGCUUUAAAGGACAGGUGUCAGCUUGUGGGCACAGCCUGCCUAUAAAAACUAUUUUUGCCAUGAACUUUACAUUUUCGUGCACAGGAUGGAUGCUUGUGGUGUUUGUACACAUAUGCACCACAACUGCCUACUUCCACGGCACUGCCUCGCCAUCUCUAAUGUAUGAUCAUUGUCCGUUACGGCGGGGGGGGGCUAGGAAUUACUGACAGGUUUCUGAUGUGUAAGAAAAGCCUUUACAUUACAACAAAAAGUCCUGCCUGGUGCAUCUGAGUCACUGUUAAACGGUAUCAAGUUGUAGAAUUUUACAAAUGGAAAAAUAAUAGUCCCGUUCUUCCCCCACAAAUGUGUAUGCAUAGCACUACCGAUAAUGCUUGGUAAUUGGAUUAAAUAUCAGUUCCCUUUUAUACUCAGGCUGUGCAAACAGGUUGUAAAUUAUGGAGUAAAAGUGUGUGGUUUGUAAAUACCUAGUAAUAAGUAGUAUUCAUACAUCCUGGACUACAGCGUCAAAAAUGGUGCUGAUUUAAUGAGUCAUAAGCAUUCCUGAGCUCACUGGAGCAGGUUGCUGACAGACCUGGUUGUCUUGCCUUCGUGGUGUGUCCAAGUCUUCCUUUCCCCAGGCAGCGGUGGGAUUUGAUCAUGGUAGCUGAAUAUCUUGAUAAAAUUGUGGUAACAGGUUACAGAUGAUACCUUUCACCCUGCACAAUUCCUGAUUGCUUUUCAUAAUAUAACAUUGCCUUAAUGCUGCAAAUACAGCUGUACUGGCAGAAAAAUACGUUGUGCAAAGGUAUGGAGGAAAGGGAGGUUUCCUUCAAGGAUGAGGGAACACAGCAGCAUUAUGAGCUUCCUGCUAUCCACAAGUACUUCUGUGAAAUCCUUCAUGAGAAAUGCUAGUUUUGUGGUGUCAGAAACCAAGUGAGUUUUUCUCUCUUUUGGCUCUCAUCCAGGGUGGCUAGUGAAGUGUUUUUGUUCUUGCCUGUGUUUCCUAGGUCAGAAGUAAAAAUAAUAAUAUAAAAAUACUCCUUGCUCUGUUCCAUCUAUUCGCAGAAUAAUUUCAGUAGGGUGAAGGAGAAAGGUCUCUUUCAAGGCCAGUUCCAAAUUUCAAAGUUGUUCUGGUAUCACUGCAUAGGGGCUGGGGUUAUGAAAAAUUGCUCCUCCCUCUUAGAAACCACAUUGUUAAACUUCUCUGUAUGAAUGAAACUAACUUAGUGUUUUUCCGUCCUAGUUCUGAGAUUGAAUGUUUCCUUCCAAACAAGGAAGGAAAACGUUAGCACUCUUUCAAAUCAAAAUAAAAUCACAUCUUCCUGAUUUCAAAGCCUAUCCCUCUUGGCAAGUCUCAUUGAUUAUCCCAGACAGGUGUUUUUCAACAAAAGCUCUUCUUGCAUUGUCUCUUCCUGUGUAGCCUCCUACAUGAGCUAAUGAAGCUUCAGUGAUGUCUCUGGAACACAAUGCAGCAAUUUAUAUAACUACAGGUUGGCGAGAACAAAUAAGGAAUCAUAAUUGAGGAAGGGCACUGAAGAGAGGCUGUGUGAGCAAGGAUCUUCUAUCUGUGGAAAGAGAUAUUUCAUUAUUGGUGAUUAGGGAGGAAGCAUCACAGAGCCAAAAAGAAAGUAGCUGUGAUGAAAAAUGUUCUUUGAUAGUUUAUUGAUAUGCAGACACUGCUCUAUGAAAGGACCACAGACCUCGUUAUUGUGCCCUUUCCAUCCUCUAGUUAAUGGAGUGUAGAUUUGUAUUAAGGGAGCUGACAUUGCCUCCAAGCGGGUCUUACAGUAAGUCAUUUAGCCUGUUUCUUUAAAAAGCUCCUGAGUACAAUUUAUAACUGCAUGAAUACUGUUUACUAACACUCCAUGCAUAAAUUGGAUCCUUCUCUCUGGAAAUAGUUGUUUGUUGUUUUUUUUUUUUUUUUUUCCUCUGUGUCUGUGCUUCCACAACUACUUGGUGCAUAUUCAAAAUUACAGCAAAUCAUCUUUUAUGUUUUUUUAUUUAUUUUUUUUUUAAAAACAGGUCCUGUCUGCUUUUUUGUGUCUAGACGAUAGAAAUUGGGCAACUUUUUUAAGAGGUACGGUAGCAGAGAAUACGUGUGUGUUUUGGUAGGUUAGUUGAUGAGGAGCCCUGCAUUGCCUAAUGGUAACGCUUUUUCACAGUUCAUAUUUGAUUAUGCCGAGAUGCUCCCUAGUCCCUGCCUCUUCCAAGUGCAUAUAGACAUUUAUAUUCCGAACACUAAAAACCAGCAGAAUUCCAAUACUCCUUUUACCUUAUUUGAAUUAGUCAUCAGCUACCCUGAAACUUCAAACUAGCUGAUAACAUUCUGAGUAUGAAAACCAGGCUCAGGUGUGACCUCACAUACAGGCAUAAGUAGUUAUUUCGCUUUUGUAUUUGGCAAGGCAGGAGGAAGGAAUGGAAGUAUCUUCCCUGCAAAAUUUGCCAGUGAAUAAAAUCACUUACAGCUAAGUUUAGGUAAGUAUCAGAAGUCAUCUUUUAGAACCAUAGGAUACAGACAGAUAGAGAAGGGCUUUGAUUAUUACCUGCUGUUUUGAAUACUAGGUAAAACAGACAGGAACGAUUCCUCCUUCCUUUUCUUUAGGUGUAAUUUAAAGUAACGUAACUUUUCUUUUAUCAGACUGAACAAUAUAGUAGUCCUCUCUUUGUGAACAAAUGAAGACAAACACAGCUGGAAACUAGUCUCUUGUUCACGUUCUGACUUUGUCUGUUUUUAGGCAGACUAGUGGAUUUCAUGAGUCACAGGAAGAGAGAAGGUUAAUGUUUUCAGAUCUAAGUUUCAUGUAAUGUGCUCUGGAAAAGAACUAGAAUUGGAAAGAAUUAAGUGUUAUGCGCUCACCACCAACUGUGUGUGCCAUCAAGAACCUACUAAUCAUCGCGAAUCUGGGAGGAUAAAGCAGGGGCAGAGUUACUCCCCUCUCAGCUGCCAUGCCAGGACUCACCGCUCUUGUCACCGAGAGGAAUCUGUCAUAGCUGAUCAGCACGAUGUUGAAGACCGAGGAGGUGCAGAGCAGAGUUGCACAUAGAUUUACAAGCUGGACAGAGGAGGAAUGGAGAAGUUCUGCUUCCCAAGAACUCUUGUGCAAAUAAAUGAAGUUUCCAUGUGGGCUGCUUAUUCUGACCACCGAAGACAGUGCUGGGAUUUGCUCAUCUCAGCGGAGCACCUUCUUCUACAGGCCAGGGCAUAUGAGACACCUGUGAGCCUGAAGAUUUGUGGCAAGCAGACAGAAGACAGCGAUGUGCAAUUUUUCCAUGUGGAAGUAGCUAAUGAAGGCUGUAGUGGUGCGAGGGUAAAUGCUGCGCUUCGAGCCAAAGCCCUCCCCGCGUGCCAACGAGGAGAGAGUACCUGCAAAAUCCGCUUCCAAGUGGCAGGGCUUGAAAAAUGGCAGCACGCUUUGCAUAGGGAAUGGCCAGGCCGAGGAAACCCAGCAGAGGUGAGCCAGGUUCCCCUCCUGCCCUCUUGCUAGGUCCCGUCCCCGGCAGAGCUGGUAACUGGGAAUAAAUCCAAACGUGAAGCAGUCCCUGGGCAGUGCUGGGGGAGAGCAAGGCUCUUUGUCUGGGCUUCUCCCUGCUGGAAGCCCUCAGCUAGCAGCCAGCUGGCGAGGCUCCUUCCUGCCUGCCCUGGCCAUUGGGGCUGGGUGGCUGGAACACAGGGAUCGUGCUCUGGGCUGGGGAAAAGGCAGGCAGGGCUGCGUUUUUGGUGGCCACACAGAGCUUGGUGACUGCAUUGUCCCUGGCCUUGGCCACCUGCUGGCGUCACAGCCCCCAGUGCUGCAGCAGGUUUGGCUCUGGGUUCAGGAAUUUGGGUUUUAUGCAUGGAAAUGGGGAUGUGGAGAGGUUCUAGCAUUCGUAUGCUGGCAGCACAAGGGAAUGGCUACUUGUCAGCUGCAAAUUCAACCCAUCUGCCUUGGUCAUUAGAGACUUCCAGCUUGGCAUUUAGCUUAGACAAGGUAAUGGACUCUUUUUUUUGCACUGUGCUCAAUCUGAAUCUGUCUUACUUUUCAGUUUCCAAAUAUAUACACGAUAACCAAAAUGAUUCAUGGUACUUUAAUACCUCGAGUUAUGCAGUCCCUUCCUUCCCAACAGUCCUUUCUUCAGUUCUGAUGGCCAUUCUUUAACCUAAUAAUUUUUUUUCUCACAUUUUCUGGAAGAGCUCCCUUAGACAAAAAUAAUGCUGAACAUGUAAGACAUCACUGUGAAUAUCAAUUAAGGGUUUUCUUCUCCUUCUGCUCCCCAUUCCUCCUCUGGGCUAAAAGCAAGCACAGUCAGCUGUAGCUGACACAGAAGCUGAAGAGAGAGGCAUCGUAGUUACUCUGCCUGUCGGGGUUGCUUGUACAGCAGACGUCAGAUCCCGAGCCAAACUUUCCAACUCCAUCUGGGACAGGAGCUGAUUUUUUUGUUCAUGCUCAAAUAUUCCUUAUAUUUUAUGAUUUGCUUUUGUGGAAUGUCACAAUGAGACCAUUUUUAUACUUUUCCUUUUUUAACCAAUCUGCAAAUGAGAAUCAUUUAUUUCUGGAAAGUUUACGUGAUGAUUUUCAAGCACAAAAGAUACUGAAGCACAAAAUGAAUGUGGAUCUUAUUUUGAUGGAUGUGUGUGAAUUAGUGGUUACUAAUUAGUUCUAGUGGUUGCCUAGGGACCAGUUAACAGGACUUUGUUACAUUCAGCACAGAAAACUGUCCCAGCAAGUAAUAUGUGCGUAUAAAUAUUUGUUGGAUUGAUGGUGGUAAUUUUGCAAAGAUAAAGAAAAUUACAUGCUGCACUGACUCAGAGCAGCCUAUAGUUUAUCAGUAAAAAAGCUUAUCUGCAAUACACCCCCACCUUUUCUUUUUUCAGGUGUUAUUGGCAGCUACAAGUGGUAAGGUUAAAGUCCGGGACUUUUUAUAAAAUUGCAGAACCUGUUCCCAGGGGUAGUGCCUGCCUGAGCUCUGUGCUGCAUGGUGAGGAGGUGACACCCUGCUGGAGGGCAGUUGUCCCCAUGCUGGGACCUCUGCCAGUCCAGGUGGCUCCUCUCCGUGCUGUGGGGCACAGUGUGGACGUGUCACCAGGUGUGCUUGAAAAUAUACAGGAAUGGUGCGUGCAUGCUACAGGAAACUCUCCUCUGCUGUCAUUUCAGCCACAAAGCAUGUGGAGAGGGAACUGGUGCUGAGCUGGGGAAACACUGUGCUACUGAAUUAAUAGUAUCUAAUUCUGUAAGGAACUUACUGAAAUUAAUUUACCUGACAUAAGCAACACCUCUGCAUUACCUGGGCAGUAGAAAUCUGUUUGUUUUUCUGACUUAUUGUGGGGAGAAUCCAAAGGAAAGUACCCUUUUGCUCUGGGCUGUGAGGAGCAUCCCUUCGCCCUGCCUCGUGCACACCUAUCCCGGUCAGCCGCUGGUGAUGGUGAGAUCCUGGAGACGGAGACAAGUUACCAAGGAAGCGCUCAGUCAGGUUAAAUCUUACUCACACAUCAGUUCUGAUCUUGCAUCAAUAAAUACAAUUAGCUUCUACUGACUUAAAUUUCCAGAAAGAAAGCAUCAUACAAGCUGUUGAAUUAGUCUCUGAUGUAAAUGCUGACAUCCAUAGGUAGAAAUUUGGUCCAGAGAGUACAAAGGUGACUUGCCACGCUGCUGUACAUGUAGCUAAAACCAGACAUUGUAAUUAGUUCUAAAUAAGGCACUCUUGUGGCCAAGUUUGACAAAUAAACCUCUAUUAGGAUAGAAAGCAUCAUUGACUGCUGGCAGAUAACUGGUGGCAGCGUGCUGGUGCAUGGGCGCUGGGAAAAUGGAGCAUCCUCAGGUUUGCUCCUGAAACAGAAAGAGCCGAGGCACGUUGGUGCCCAGCCUGCAGCAGGAGCAAGUUUCCAGAGAUUGGGCUCCGCAGGGGCUCUUCUGGUGCUUCCCAAGCCCUGUACAAAUGGGGGGGGGGGGGUGAUUAAAGCUGGGAGCUGACACUGACCCGUCCCCAUGUUGCCUUCUAUGGAGGUGGAAGGAACGCAAGGACCAUCCUCCCAGGGAGGGUGAGGCGGGAUACGGAGCUGACCUAGUUUUGCACAACUGUU